UACGUAGGGUGCAAGCGUUACUCGGAAUUACUGGGCGUAAAGCGUGCGCAGGCGGUUUCGUAAGUCUGUCGUGAAAGCCCCGGGCUCAACCUGGGAAUUGCGAUGGAGACUGCGAGGCUAGAGUGUGUCAGAGGGGGGUAGAAUUCCACGUGUAGCAGUGAAAUGCGUAGAUAUGUGGAGGAACACCGAUGGCGAAGGCAGCCCCCUGGGAUAACACUGACGCUCAUGCACGAAAGCGUGGGGAGCAAACAGG
rnacentral:rRNA from 1 species